rnacentral:rRNA from 1 species
GAUUAAGUUAUUAAGGGCGCACGGUGGAUGCCUUGGCACUAGAAGCCAAUGAAGGACGUUACUAACGACGAUAUGCUUUGGGGAGCUGUAAGUAAGCUUUGAUCCAGAGAUUUCCGAAUGGGGAAACCCAGCAUGAGUUAUGUCAUGUUAUCGAUAUGUGAAUACAUAGCAUAUCAGAAGGCACACCCGGAGAACUGAAACAUCUUAGUACCCGGAGGAAGAGAAAGAAAAUUCGAUUCCCUUAGUAGCGGCGAGCGAAACGGGAAGAGCCCAAACCAACAAGCUUGCUUGUUGGGGUUGUAGGACACUCUAUACGGAGUUACAAAGGACGACAUUAGACGAAUCAUCUGGAAAGAUGAAUCAAAGAAGGUAAUAAUCCUGUAGUCGAAAAUGUUGUCUCUCUUGAGUGGAUCCUGAGUACGACGGAGCACGUGAAAUUCCGUCGGAAUCUGGGAGGACCAUCUCCUAAGGCUAAAUACUCUCUAGUGACCGAUAGUGAACCAGUACCGUGAGGGAAAGGUGAAAAGCACCCCGGAAGGGGAGUGAAAUAGAACCUGAAACCGUGUGCUUACAAGUAGUCAGAGCCCGUUAAUGGGUGAUGGCGUGCCUUUUGUAGAAUGAACCGGCGAGUUACGAUUUGAUGCAAGGUUAAGCAGUAAAUGUGGAGCCGUAGCGAAAGCGAGUCUGAAUAGGGCGUUUAGUAUUUGGUCGUAGACCCGAAACCAGGUGAUCUACCCUUGGUCAGGUUGAAGUUCAGGUAACACUGAAUGGAGGACCGAACCGACUUACGUUGAAAAGUGAGCGGAUGAACUGAGGGUAGCGGAGAAAUUUCAAUCGAACCUGGAGAUAGCUGGUUCUCUCCGAAAUAGCUUUAGGGCUAGCCUCAAGUGAUGAUUAUUGGAGGUAGAGCACUGUUUGGACGAGGGGCCCCUCUCGGGUUACCGAAUUCAGACAAACUCCGAAUGCCAAUUAAUUUAACUUGGGAGUCAGAACAUGGGUGAUAAGGUCCGUGUUCGAAAGGGAAACAGCCCAGACCACCAGCUAAGGUCCCAAAAUAUAUGUUAAGUGGAAAAGGAUGUGGCGUUGCCCAGACAACUAGGAUGUUGGCUUAGAAGCAGCCAUCAUUUAAAGAGUGCGUAAUAGCUCACUAGUCGAGUGACACUGCGCCGAAAAUGUACCGGGGCUAAACAUAUUACCGAAGCUGUGGAUUGUCCUUUGGACAAUGGUAGGAGAGCGUUCUAAGGGCGUUGAAGCAUGAUCGUAAGGACAUGUGGAGCGCUUAGAAGUGAGAAUGCCGGUGUGAGUAGCGAAAGACGGGUGAGAAUCCCGUCCACCGAUUGACUAAGGUUUCCAGAGGAAGGCUCGUCCGCUCUGGGUUAGUCGGGUCCUAAGCUGAGGCCGACAGGCGUAGGCGAUGGAUAACAGGUUGAUAUUCCUGUACCACCUAUAAUCGUUUUAAUCGAUGGGGGGACGCAGUAGGAUAGGCGAAGCGUGCGAUUGGAUUGCACGUCUAAGCAGUAAGGCUGAGUAUUAGGCAAAUCCGGUACUCGUUAAGGCUGAGCUGUGAUGGGGAGAAGACAUUGUGUCUUCGAGUCGUUGAUUUCACACUGCCGAGAAAAGCCUCUAGAUAGAAAAUAGGUGCCCGUACCGCAAACCGACACAGGUAGUCAAGAUGAGAAUUCUAAGGUGAGCGAGCGAACUCUCGUUAAGGAACUCGGCAAAAUGACCCCGUAACUUCGGGAGAAGGGGUGCUCUUUAGGGUUAACGCCCAGAAGAGCCGCAGUGAAUAGGCCCAAGCGACUGUUUAUCAAAAACACAGGUCUCUGCUAAACCGUAAGGUGAUGUAUAGGGGCUGACGCCUGCCCGGUGCUGGAAGGUUAAGAGGAGUGGUUAGCUUCUGCGAAGCUACGAAUCGAAGCCCCAGUAAACGGCGGCCGUAACUAUAACGGUCCUAAGGUAGCGAAAUUCCUUGUCGGGUAAGUUCCGACCCGCACGAAAGGCGUAACGAUUUGGGCACUGUCUCAACGAGAGACUCGGUGAAAUCAUAGUACCUGUGAAGAUGCAGGUUACCCGCGACAGGACGGAAAGACCCCGUGGAGCUUUACUGUAGCCUGAUAUUGAAAUUCGGCACAGCUUGUACAGGAUAGGUAGGAGCCUUUGAAACGUGAGCGCUAGCUUACGUGGAGGCGCUGGUGGGAUACUACCCUAGCUGUGUUGGCUUUCUAACCCGCACCACUUAUCGUGGUGGGAGACAGUGUCAGGCGGGCAGUUUGACUGGGGCGGUCGCCUCCUAAAAGGUAACGGAGGCGCUCAAAGGUUCCCUCAGAAUGGUUGGAAAUCAUUCAUAGAGUGUAAAGGCAUAAGGGAGCUUGACUGCGAGACCUACAAGUCGAGCAGGGUCGAAAGACGGACUUAGUGAUCCGGUGGUUCCGCAUGGAAGGGCCAUCGCUCAACGGAUAAAAGCUACCCCGGGGAUAACAGGCUUAUCUCCCCCAAGAGUUCACAUCGACGGGGAGGUUUGGCACCUCGAUGUCGGCUCAUCGCAUCCUGGGGCUGUAGUCGGUCCCAAGGGUUGGGCUGUUCGCCCAUUAAAGCGGUACGCGAGCUGGGUUCAGAACGUCGUGAGACAGUUCGGUCCCUAUCCGUCGUGGGCGUAGGAAAUUUGAGAGGAGCUGUCCUUAGUACGAGAGGACCGGGAUGGACAUACCUCUGGUGUACCAGUUGUCGUGCCAACGGCAUAGCUGGGUAGCUAUGUGUGGACGGGAUAAGUGCUGAAAGCAUCUAAGCAUGAAGCCCCCCUCAAGAUGAGAUUUCCCAACUUCGGUUAUAAGAUCCCUCAAAGAUGAUGAGGUUAAUAGGUUCGAGGUGGAAGCAUGGUGACAUGUGGAGCUGACGAAUACUAAUCGAUCGAAGACUUAAUCAA